rnacentral:rRNA from 1 species
GACGAACGCUGGCGGCGUGCUUAACACAUGCAAGUCGAACGGAAAGGCCCUGCUUUUGUGGGGUGCUCGAGUGGCGAACGGGUGAGUAACACGUGAGUAACCUGCCCUUGACUUUGGGAUAACUUCUGGAAACUGGGGCUAAUACCGGAUAGGUUCUCCUGCUGCAUGGUGGGGGUUGGAAAGUUUUGGCGGUUGGGGCUGGACUCGCGGCUUAUCAGCUUGUUGGUGGGGUAGUGGCUUACCAAGGCUUUGACGGGUAGCCGGCCUGAGAGGGUGACCGGCCACAUUGGGACUGAGAUACGGCCCAGACUCCUACGGGAGGCAGCAGUGGGGAAUAUUGCACAAUGGGCGGAAGCCUGAUGCAGCAACGCAGCGUGCGGGAUGACGGCCUUCGGGUUGUAAACCGCUUUCGCCUGUGACGAAGCGUGAGUGACGGUAAUGGGUAAAGAAGCACCGGCUAACUACGUG